UGAAAAAGACAUGACCCAUCUAUCUAUCUUUUUUUCCCUUUGAUUUAUAUAUACAUGGUUGGGAUAAGUGCACAAACCAAUAAAUGAACAAAGUACUCCUAUGAUUAACACCAUACACAUUGAAGUAUUUGAUUGUGUUUGGUCGUUACGUUAUUACAUAUGAGACAUAUUUCAUGUGUCCCUUUGCGUCAAGUAAUGGAAAUUUUACACUUUGAGGGUGGAAAAAGGGGGAGUUGAAGUUGAAGGCAAAAGUAUAUAUUCAGAUAAUGACGGAGGGAAUAAUUGGCUGAGAGUUAAUAAAAUAAGAGAAUUGAUUCUAGCACAUCUCUCAGCUUCUCGUGAUCAUUAUGAUCAUGUAACUUGCGUUUAUUUCUUUUGCGAAAUUAUUCUCGAUAUUUAUAUAGAUUAAAACUCAUUUAAGAUAAUAAAGGUCGGUCGGUUUGAUUCAACGGAGGAGAUGAUCGAAAUAUUAACCGAGCGGAGGAAAAGAGAAGGAAGACAAGAGGAAUUAAUUUAAAUGAAUAUACAUGUCUGGUUCAAAAGAUGGGAGUGGAAGGGAGGGGAGAUAUUUGAAUGAAGUGUGAAGACAAUGAUGUCCAAAUAGUUUGGUUGAAUAUGUAUCCCUCAUCUGAUCAAUCCAUGCUAUGUCAUAUUUUCAUAUUGAUUUAUUUUAAAAAAAUUCAAAUACUAUUUUUUUUUCUUUUUAAAUGGUACCGAUACUCAACCAAACUCUGAGAUAUCCAAGAACUUACCUUUAAUUAAACAUGCAUUUGGUUCAGAUUGAAUAAGAG
rnacentral:lncRNA from 1 species